AUACGUAGGUGGCGAGCGUUGUCCGGAAUUACUGGGUGUAAAGGGCGCGUAGGCGGGGAUACAAGUCAGGUGUGAAAGACCACGGCUCAACCGUGGGGUUGCAUUUGAAACUGUAUUUCUUGAGUAUUGGAGAGGGAAGCGGAAUUCCUAGUGUAGCGGUGAAAUGCGUAGAGAUUAGGAGGAACACCAGUGGCGAAGGCGGCUUUCUGGCCAAAUACUGACGCUGAGGCGCGAAAGCGUGGGGAGCAAACAGGAUUAGAUACCCUGGUAGUCCACGCCGUAAACGAUGGAUACUAGGUGUAGGUGGUAACGGACCAUCUGUGCCGGAGUUAACACAAUAAGUAUCCCACCUGGGGAGUACGGCCGCAAGGCUGAA
rnacentral:rRNA from 1 species